rnacentral:rRNA from 1 species
ACCUUUAUCUGGGGCAUAGCCCGGAGAAAUCCGGAUUAACACCCCAUAAUAUAAUUGAGUGGCAUCACUUGGUUACUAAAACUCCGGUGGAUAAAGAUGAGUGUGCGUCCCAUUAGCUAGUUGGUAGGGUAAUGGCCUACCAAGGCGACGAUGGGUAGCUGGUGUGAGAGCACGACCAGCCACACGGGCACUGAGACACGGGCCCGACUCCUACGGGAGGCAGCAGUGAGGAAUAUUGGUCAAUGGACGCAAGUCUGAACCAGCCAUGCCGCGUGGAGGAUGAAGGCCUUCUGGGUUGUAAACUUCUUUUAUUAGGGAAGAAAAGCACGGUUUCUACUGUGUCCGACGGUACCUAAGGAAUAAGCACCGGCUAACUCCGUGCCAGCAGCCGCGGUAAUACGGAGGGUGCAAGCGUUAUCCGGAUUCACUGGGUUUAAAGGGUGUGUAGGCGGGCUGUUAAGUCAGUGGUGAAAUCUCAAGGCUCAACCUUGAAACUGCCAUUGAUACUAUCAGUCUUGAAUCUUGUUGAGGUAGGCGGAAUAUGUCAUGUAGCGGUGAAAUGCUUAGAUAUGACAUAGAACACCGAUUGCGAAGGCAGCUUACUAAGCAAGUAUUGACGCUGAGGCACGAAAGCGUGGGGAUCAAACAGGAUUAGAUACCCUGGUAGUCCACGCCCUAAACGAUGAUUACUCGACAUACGCGAUAUACAGUG